rnacentral:rRNA from 1 species
GUUGUUGGGUAGGGGAGCGUUCUGUAAGCCUGUGAAGGUGUGUGAGGGAUGCUGGAGGUAUCAGAAGUGCGAAUGCUGACAUAAGUAACGAUAAAGCGGGUGAAAAGCCCGCUCGCCGGAAGACCAAGGGUUCCUGUCCAACGUUAAUCGGGGCAGGGUGAGUCGACCCCUAAGGCGAGGCCGAAAGGCGUAGUCGAUGGGAAACGGGUUAAUAUUCCCGUACUUGGUGUUACUGCGAAGGGGGGACGGAGAAGGCUAUGUUGGCCGGGCGACGGUUGUCCCGGUUUAAGCGUGUAGGUGUGUGUUCCAGGUAAAUCCGGUUCACUUUAACACUGAGGCGUGACGACGAGGCACUACGGUGCUGAAGCAACAAAUGCCCUGCUUCCAGGAAAAGCCUCUAAGCAUCAGGUAACAUCAAAUCGUACCCCAAACCGACACAGGUGGUCAGGUAGAGAAUACCAAGGCGCUUGAGAGAACUCGGGUGAAGGAACUAGGCAAAAUGGUGCCGUAACUUCGGGAGAAGGCACGCUGACAUGUAGGUGAAGUGAUUUACUCAUGGAGCUGAAGUCAGUCGAAGAUACCAGCUGGCUGCAACUGUUUAUUAAAAACACAGCACUGUGCAAACACGAAAGUGGACGUAUACGGUGUGACGCCUGCCCGGUGCCGGAAGGUUAAUUGAUGGGGUCAGCGCAAGCGAAGCUCCUGAUCGAAGCCCCGGUAAACGGCGGCCGUAACUAUAACGGUCCUAAGGUAGCGAAAUUCCUUGUCGGGUAAGUUCCGACCUGCACGAAUGGCGUAAUGAUGGCCAGGCUGUCUCCACCCGAGACUCAGUGAAAUUGAACUCGCUGUGAAGAUGCAGUGUACCCGCGGCAAGACGGAAAGACCCCGUGAACCUUUACUAUAGCUUGACACUGAACAUUGAGCCUUGAUGUGUAGGAUAGGUGGGAGGCUUUGAAGUGUGGACGCCAGUCUGCAUGGAGCCGACCUUGAAAUACCACCCUUUAAUGUUUGAUGUUCUAACGUGGACCCGUUAUCCGGGUUGCGGACAGUGUCUGGUGGGUAGUUUGACUGGGGCGGUCUCCUCCUAAAGAGUAACGGAGGAGCACGAAGGUUGGCUAAUCCUGGUCGGACAUCAGGAGGUUAGUGCAAUGGCAUAAGCCAGCUUGACUGCGAGCGUGACGGCGCGAGCAGGUGCGAAAGCAGGUCAUAGUGAUCCGGUGGUUCUGAAUGGAAGGGCCAUCGCUCAACGGAUAAAAGGUACUCCGGGGAUAACAGGCUGAUACCGCCCAAGAGUUCAUAUCGACGGCGGUGUUUGGCACCUCGAUGUCGGCUCAUCACAUCCUGGGGCUGAAGUAGGUCCCAAGGGUAUGGCUGUUCGCCAUUUAAAGUGGUACGCGAGCUGGGUUUAGAACGUCGUGAGACAGUUCGGUCCCUAUCUGCCGUGGGCGCUGGAGAACUGAGGGGGGCUGCUCCUAGUACGAGAGGACCGGAGUGGACGCAUCACUGGUGUUCGGGUUGUCAUGCCAAUGGCACUGCCCGGUAGCUAAAUGCGGAAGAGAUAAGUGCUGAAAGCAUCUAAGCACGAAACUUGCCCCGAGAUGAGUUCUCCCUGAGACUUAGAGUCUCCUGAAGGAACGUUGAAGACGACGACGUUGAUAGGCCGGGUGUGUAAGCGCAGCGAUGCGUUGAGCUAACCGGUACUAAUGAACCGUGAGGCUUAACCUUACAACGCCGAAG